UACGGGGGGGGGCGAGCGUUGUUCGGAAUUACUGGGCGUAAAGGGUUUGUAGGUGGUCUGCUAAGUCAGACGUGAAAUCCCUCAGCUUAACUGGGGAACUGCGUCUGAUACUGGCGGACUUGAGUGCGGAAGAGGGUCGUGGAAUUCCCAGUGUAGAGGUGAAAUUCGUAGAUAUUGGGAAGAACACCGGUGGCGAAGGCGGCGACCUGGUCCGAUACUGACGCUGAGGCGCGAAAGCGUGGGGAGCAAACAGG
rnacentral:rRNA from 1 species